rnacentral:rRNA from 1 species
CCUACGGGCGGCAGCAGUGGGGAAUAUUGCACAAUGGGGGAAACCCUGAUGCAGCGACGCCGCGUGAAGGAGGAAGUAUUUCGGUAUGGAAACUUCUAUCAGCAGGGAAGAAAAUGACGGUACCUGACUAAGAAGCCCCGGCUAACUACGGGCAAGCAGCCGCGGGACUACGUAGGGGGCUAGCGUUAACCGGAUUUACUGGGUGUAAAGGGAGCGUAGGCGGGUUAGCAAGUCAGAAGUGAAAGCCCGCGGUUAAACUCCGGGACUGCGUUUGAAACUGUUGAACUAGAUUUCAGUAGAGGUAAGUGGAAUUCGUAGUGUAGCGGUGAAAUGCGUAGAUAUUAGGAAGAACACCAGUGGCGAAGGCAGCUUACUGGACUGUAAAUGACGCUGAGGCUCGAAAGCGUGGGGAGCAAACAGGAUUAGAUACCCCAGUAGUC